GGACCGUUAGCUCAGUGGGAGAGCGCCGGCUCGUCACGCCGUAGGCCGCGGGUUCGAUCCCCGCACGGUUCG
rnacentral:tRNA from 1 species